AUACGGAGGGUGCGAGCGUUAAUCGGAAUUACUGGGCGUAAAGCGUACGUAGGCGGUUUGCUAAGUCAGAUGUGAAAGCCCCGGGCUUAACCUGGGAACUGCAUUUGAUACUGGCAGACUAGAGUAUGAUAGAGGGGGGUAGAAUUCCUGGUGUAGCGGUGAAAUGCGUAGAUAUCAGGAGGAAUACCAGUGGCGAAGGCGGCCCCCUGGAUCAAUACUGACGCUCAGGUACGAAAGCGUGGGGAGCGAACAGGAUUAGAAACCCCAGAGUCC
rnacentral:rRNA from 1 species